CCACAAUGCAAAGGGGUGGACACGGCCCCAGGGGAGUGCUGGCUGUGUUCUAGGGAUCACUCUCUGUUUACAUAAAGCCACAGUGAGGCCCUGUGUGGAGUAGACCCAGAUGAUGCCCUGAACUGAGACAGUACUCUAACACUUCCCAGAAUCCUCUGCAGUGUGCACAGUCUCCUCAGCUCAGUGUGGAGAAAGGUUUCCCUGAAGUCAAUACAGUGAAUAUUUCUUCAGAUGCUAUUUACCUCAGCAAAGUGUUCUGGGCACACCCAACUAUUUUACCAGGAGGGGGCAGAAGCCCCUAGACUGUGGAACUCUCUCCCUAUUGAGGUCCGGUUGGCUUCCUCAUUAUGCACAGCUCUGCCCACCACUGGCACGUGGUCCUCAGAAGACUGCGCAGAAGGAAAUGCGGCCCUUGGCUGAAAAAGAUUCCACACCCCUGCCCUACAGUGAUGUUUGACCAGGGGCAUUGUAAGAAAUCUAAAGGGAGCCUAGACCUGACCACCUAGUGGUGCUCAGAGUACCAGGCCAGGGAAAAAUUGGGGGUGAGGUAUCAGCAGUGGGUCCCGCCAGGAUGCUGGGGACCUGGCAGCUGCCUAAAGCUGUCAAGUGCUAACCCCAUCCUUGAUAAGUAUUAUUACCUACUAAGUAAUGUCUGCAAAUCAAGUUUCUGUUAAAAGCACAGGGCCAAUAAAAAAGUUAUUUCCAUAGAAAGUAAAGUUGAGCUUGCCUAGUAGAGGAAUUGUUGGGGAGGGGAUGAAUAGGAUUUGAAUAAAGAGUAUGCUCCAAUCAAAGCAAGAGACUGUGGGGCUCCCCCUGUAUCCUCCUUCCAUGCUGCCACUGUUUUUGUGUGUGUGCCUAUCAAAUUCCCACCCUGGGCUCCUACUGGGAGGAAGGGCAGGAUAUAAAUUUAAUAAACUAACAAGCAAACAAAUUGGUGUUUGUAGCCUAUGUUUAUGCAAGUCCUCCAGUUUUAGGAGGGACAGGAUUGGGUAGAAGCAUAGAACACUUUUAUUUCUUUCACCCACUUUGCUUUUAAGGUGUGUGGCAUUGCCAGCUGCCAGGUUUGGCUGCCCUUUUGGAAUUUUUGUCUCUGGUUUGGUAUUGGGUCUCUUGCUAAAUAACAGUUAGGGAUGCCAAUUUCGGUUCUCUCCGUUCCCAUUUUUCCAGUCCCAAAUUCAAAAAGUUCUCCACGUUUCUGCAGCAAUUUGUGAUUUUUUUUUAAAAUCGGCAUGAAAAUUCUCCAGCAUUUUCGUGAGAGUUUUUCCUAAUAAACACAUUCUUGUAGGCAAUGUUGACUGUUGUACACAUUUUUGCAAGCAAUUUCUCAUUAUAUAAUGCAUUUAUAUAUUUUUUCACUCAUAUACUCAUUUUUGUGCAUGUCUUCCCUUAAUCUAUGCAUUUUUAUAAACAUUGUUUGGUUGGCGACUUGUAUUGCAAAAUUAGAAUAAGUGCAAAUUUCAAAGGAUGGUUGUAUUCCGGUGCACAUAUUAUUCAGAAAAUGUGGAUUUGAUUGAUUCAGCUUGAAACGUGAACUUAAUCUAACUUCUUGCCCAUCCCUGAUAACAGUGCAAGCCUACACGUGCCUGUUUGGAAGUGAGACCCAUUGAGUUCAAUAAAUCUUGCAGUGGGUAUAAGACCACAGCCUAAACUAGAUGUUUUGAGUUCAGGAUGUAUGAUGAUAUGUGCAUACACAUAUGAAGUUGGCAAACCUGCUUGGCUGCAGUUUCUAGCUGCAACUAGGGACAGAGGAUAAAUCCAUUUUAAAUGAAUUUAUACAUGGAAUUUGAUAGUUCCAACCUAAUCAAGCUUUGUCUGCAUCAGACCACCUCUUGCCUUGAGCAUCCACUUAUAUCCAAGCUGCUUGUGCAUUGUCAGGUUGUUGUUUUUUAAAGCUCAAUUUAUGUAAAAUUAUGUGCAAAAAUGUAUAUUAUAUGUAUUAUACAAGCCCCAUGCAAUACUAUAUUUAUGAAACACAA